rnacentral:lncRNA from 8 species
UUUGAAUUGCAAUUGCAGGAGCUUUAACAGCAAGAGUUUGAACUGCUACUCACUACUCAGGAGUAGAAUAAUAAAAAUACUGAGAAAUGCAAGUUCGUCCACUGAACACUACAAGAGGGGACGAUGGAGAAUACACGUCUCUUGUCCAACCUAUGUGAAGCAUUGAUGAGGAAAGACAUUUUCAAUACUUUCAGAUGUCGGUUGCCAGAUUUGACCACUUGCCACUCAAAUCUCGCACAAGAGAACUCACAGCUUGCCCGUAAGUGCUGCAGAAAGGCAGUCUGUGACCCUUGGGUUUUUGGUGAGUGGCAGCACACAGCAAAGUAUCGCUAAGCUAGGAAUCUCUACAGUUUGUGCCAUUGUCACAGAAGUGUGCCAGGCUAUCUGACAUGUCCUGAAUGAGAAUUUUGUUGCUUAUCCCUCCGUGGUACAAUGGGCAGAAAUCGCCAGAGAUUUUGGGGAUCGUUUGAAUUAUCCGUUUUGUGCAGGAGCUGUCGACAUCACGUUCGGAUCCGAGAUCCGACAAACUCGGGAAGCGAUUACUACAACUACAAGGGCUUUUUCUCAAUGAUCUUGAUGGCAGUCUGUGAUGCAAGACACCCACCAUAUCCAGCUUCAGCCCUGAGCCUCUCACCGAGAGACAGCUUUGAUGUGGCCCCGCUGGGCCGCCGCCCCCCCCUGUGCUCUGAUUGGUGGAUGGUUGGCGGGGCGAUGUGGGAGUGGAUGGGGGAUGAAAGCGCGCGGGGCAGUGAGGGGGCACCUGCACACAGAGCCUGGCCUGUGUGGCUCCUUCAUCUUCAACCGCUUCCCCUGACCGCCGGCUGAACUCCCGUGUCAGCGACCAUCACACGGUCGCUGUGACCUCUCCAUCUCUGCCUGCCUCUUUCUCUCUAUUCACUCGGUCUGUCUCUGUCUCUCUCUCUCUACUCACUCAAUCGCUCUGUCUGCAUCUCUUUCUCAUUCCUUCUCCGUCUCUCUCUCCGACUCUCUCUUUCCAUAUAAGUGUAUUAUGAGAGUGUAGUUGUCAGUUGACAGGUGUAGAAUGUGCUGUGUGUUCAGCUGAAAUAUACAAGGUGAAACAAUAUGUUGCAAGAAUAUUUAUGUCUGUGCUUCUGGAAUUUAACUGGUCUUCAUACAAGAGAUCCCAGCAUGUGCUCUGAACAAAAUUAAUAUAUUGCUAAUAUUACAGUUAUAAAGCAUUUACUUUGUGUUGGAUCUUCAUCUAAUGUCAUGUCAUACUAAUAUUCCAGGAACACAGAAAUCAGUUUCACUGUAAGGGUGUGGUAAUGAAAAUUGUAAUGACAAUUUUAAAUAUUUGACAUAUUAAGACAAUAUCCAUUUAAUGUGAAGCAGAUGAACAUUUGCCAACAUCUGUCAAGUUUCAGCUGUAGGGCUGAUUGAUUUGCCACUCUUGACCUCUGUGGGAAUUUGAUUAACCAUAAAAUGGUGCAUUAUGUCACCCCUAUUAGGACCAUUUAGUAUUGCCAGAAGGUCAGAGCAAAAAAUACCUCUUUUUCACUUUUAUUGAGAUGUCUCAGCAAUAAGGGCACUGUUUCAGUACAGCUGUAUGCCAAGAAGGCACAAUCAACUACAAUGAACUCCUCUGUGCCAUCACAUUUCAGACGUUUCAGUGUGUCCAAAAGAAUAUGUGAUGCGAUUUCUUAAAAAGAAAAAGAAGAAGAAAAGAAAAAAGGAAUGUUGCAAGUUGAUAAUCUCAAAUAAAUUAUGUUUAGUUUGAGUAACAUGAUUAUAAAUUAAUUUUGGUUUAUCAUGUUUACAUAUGCUGGAUACAGUAUUUUGGAUGUAAAUUAAAAAUGAUCACAUUUUAAGGCCAGAAGAAAAACUUGUGUCUCUGAUUUGAAGAGUUUGUGAGAACCUGAGAAACAGUUUAUUUUUCCCACUUACGGCAGUACUGUUGAACUAAUACUUCAGAGGCUUGCGACAAUGCAUUGUCUAUUAGGCUGAGAUGAUAGUUGUGUAUAGAUUUACUGCAGUGUGUCUGUAUGUGUGGGGUUGUCCAAAUAAUGUGCUGUAUUUUCUGCUAGACCGGGGUCCUGACCUUACUCUCGUAUGCUGCCGGUGUGCACCAAUGUCCCAGGUCUCAGGGAACACUAUAUGACUAUGAUCCCUCUGCUUUUUAGAGCCGUUUGGAGAACAGAGAUCUGAGCUGACCCUGUGUAAAUGCAGUUGUUGCAGAGGGGACCUGCUUGUAAAUGAGGGUCAUGGUUCAGGUGCUAGAGGUCACAGGGGUUGGACCUCUUUGUGCAUGAGGGCGCCUCAGUGCCUGCCUCCUCUUCGACCUCCUUUUGCUGAACGUGCAUUCGAUUGUGUUAGGGCCGAUAACGUAUGGAGCUCAAUGGCAACAGAGUCACCUCUGGGCCCAGCGAGAUGUGAAAGGUGACAGGCAGCAGGAUCUAAGCCAAUAGACCUCAAAGAGCAUCUGUCAGAUGUCUCAGACAGAAGUGUGUGCUCAGCAGUCACAAAGCACUCUUUAAAAGAGACAUGGUGAUUGUAUAGAUGGACAGGUGGUACCUCCCUAUUGUCUAGCGCUGAGUUUUGUUUAACCUUUUACUACAUCCCAUGUUACUUUGUUGUUUACCUUUCCCCCAUUAAGCUUGGGAGAUCUUUCAAACACUCAUUUAUUCUGACGCUAAAGUUUCAGCUGAUACAUUUCCAUGUCAUUUAUCUAUUGUUUCCUUCUUAUACCUAACUACCUGUCCAGACGUUCAGUGGGAAGAGCUUGAAGGAAUUGCCAAAGGACGUGUGAAAGUGCUGCACUUCUGGCCGCGCAAGAGAAUUUCAGAGCAAAGCGUCAGGACUCACAGCACUUAGGCCCAGUCCCAAAGGCUGUGACUGGCGCAGUGGGGCCCACAUUAGCUCAGCCACAUCUCUCUGAAAUGGACUCGCCUGAGCGGAAUGAAGCACAUAAGGCACCUUGCACACCAUGCCAAGGGCUUUAUCAGGCACAGAUCAAUGGGCGCCUGCAUUCUCUCAGAGCGCCCGAGCCACAAGGGCAAAUACAGUAUCUUGGGAGGUGGCGGAAGUCAUACUGUAUAUAGGCUUAGGGCUGUGUAUGUGUGUGUGUGUCUCGCCUGCUUUAAUCAGGUUGUCCAACAGCAAACACUGGGCUGUCAAGUGAAGCGUUUCAGGCGGCAAAGCCUUUCAGUCAGGACAAAAGGUGGGAGAAGCCGUGGGACUGCAUGGCCCAACCCUCUCAUUCGCUGAAUGCUCCUCAGUUCUCCAGUGGAGCUCAAAAGGCCUUUGCCCUUCCAGCUGUAAAAUUGGCUGACAGGGAGCCUCUAAAGCCCCCCACUCAUAGAUGAGUCCACACAAACUGCUGCAUUUACUCAGGCUGAUUGAGUCCUGAAGCAACCAAGCUUUUCAUCAGGAUGAUAUUUCACCCAGGUAGCGACUGAAAAUUAAACAUUACUUCAGGGCCUGUUUUGGCAAAUGUUGUGAUGAUCAUGAUUAGAUUAUAGCAGCAUUGUAACCAAAGCUAUCCAUUGUUACAUAGUUUAUGCUAAUCAAUUAACAACAUAUCAAAAAGCAUAUAUUAGCUAUGUAUGAUAAGCUUCCAUUAAGUCUGGUAAAGAUCUAUUUUAGAUAAUCAGACAAAAUUAAAUCAUACUAAUUGAGGUGAUGUAUCUACAGGACCAAAGCUGAGUGAUACACGUUUCCCUGGAAAACACAUUGAAAAAAUAUUGAUUUCCAGAAAAGAUGUAUCUCUGAAACCAUAGGGACGGCCUAUUAACAGAAUGAAGAGGAAAGAAAAAUCAAUGGUUAUGUCCAAGUAGAUUUCCGUCUUCUUGCUAGCUAUUAUAAUAGUGUGGAGCCUGAAAACUCUCUCAGCCUGUCAUGAUGGUGGCUAUGUGAAAGCAAACACAGCCAUUAGUUUCUCAUAAUGUUGAUAUUUGGUAGCAUCUUGUUAGCAUGUAGUUCCUCGAAGGCCUUUAAUUCUGUGAUGUAGAAUCUGUGUGCGAAAAUACACUAAAGUGCAUCCUUUGGAAAUUGACACUGAUAAGAAAGAUUACAGCAAAAGGACUGCUGAUUAGAAUAGGAGGCGGCCUCCUCGAGCCAUUUGCAAAUGUAUGAAAUUGGCUAACGACAAGGUCGUGGCCGUGGGCACCAGGACACUGAGCAGUACAGAGGAGGAGAUCUGCACUCGGCACAGAGCACCAACAGUCAGGGCCUCGCCAUGUUGUUGACAUGAUUCCUAGGACUCUCCUUUCAUCACGGCCGCUGCCACUCUCUGUCAGGAGGAAAGAGAAAGGAUUGUAACUUUGGCCCUAUUGUUUAACAUCUCCCAAAGACGGAGGACACAGAAAUUAUUCUGAAGAGCAGAAGACACACGGUGGAAAAUGACCUUUAACUGCACUUCCUUAGCUGAAUCUCAUCCAAUUAGAGCACUGUAUAUUUUCCCUAAUAGCGGCUGAUGAGGCAGGGCCUAUGAGCAAGCACGCCCGACCGGCGUUGCUAUGCAGCGAGAUGGCUGCUUAGCACCGGAGGAGCGCUGGGGAAUAAGUGAGCAGAGAGCUUUAAUUUGAUAGGGUUAGAAUCCUGCAGGCUCCAGGGUUGGGGGUCAUCAGGAGCUCGUCUCACACUGAAUAUGAAGAAAUCACAAGUAAAUUGCUUACAUCUGCUGCCGGUGGCUGGGAGGGCUAUGAUUGGUUCCCAGAGGUGUGCACCAUCUCACGCGGGCAGCGGAAGGGGGCCUUGGUGCAAAGAAGGCUUGUAAUUUGAGUAAUUCUGCAUUAAUAGAUGUUAAAAAAUCAUUGGACCAGCUGGUUUGAAAAGCAGAGCCUUUAUGAAA